rnacentral:lncRNA from 1 species
CCGGCAGCCGCGGUGCAGCGGCCUCUCCCMCGAUACCUUCCCGGUCGCAUUUUCUUUGCCAGUGCCGUAAGAUCUGUGGCCGGACAUCACCAGUUUCCUAUUUUUACUCCCCACGCAUAAGCAAAGCUACAGCAAGCACUUCCUUACUUCAGGGGAAGGUUGCGAGGAGGCAGCUUCCAUUGCACCAUUUUCUUAGCARAAGAAGUUACGAUCUUCAGGCAAAAGCUUCUUUCAGGAGAGUAAUGGAUCCAAUGCUCACAGCUGCAGCAGUGGAGGCAGGACCUGUGUAUUUCUUUGACCAGAUGAAAACUAGAGUGAAAGAGAGAGACAAGAAGAUACCAGAAGAACUGUCCUCCUAUUUCAGUUUCCUCCCUACAGAUCUUCACCCCAUAAGUUUUACUCCCAGAUUUUUUUCUCCUCAGCCUGAUUAAAGGCAAGAAUCCCAGCUGUACAGGGGAGCAUACAGAAAGGCAUGAAGAUGGUUUCUUAAAUGAUGAUCCAUCAAGAAAAGAAGAAUAUCCAGUUUUGCAUCAGAUAUCUUGUCAUUCCCUGUGUAAAACCACCACUGAAGACGCAAACCCAAAGGUCUCCCAAAUACCUUCAAUCCAACAGGCAG